UCCAGCUCCUUUAACAUUGCUGUUUUGGGAGUGUCAGAGCAGGCGAUCUAAAAUGCUGGUUUCUUCCUACCCACUGCCUUCCUCCCCUCCCUGGGGAGGUGCUGCUGGCUGUGGGGCCUCCUCUUGCCUUAGGAAGAUAGCUUAAAGCAGUUGGCCUGGGUGGCCCAGUCUGUGUUUUAUCUGCCAGUUCCUUAUUUUUACCACACAUAUUUCUCAUCUUUUGUUUGUUUCAAACUGAAGUAUUUGGUAACCGCUGCACAGUUUGACUCUGAUCUCUCUACUGAGGACACUGCCAAGUGGAAAAGUAGGAAUGACUCCAGGACCUCACAGAAUACACAAGCAGCAACUUACAGAGCAGCCCUGUGCCUCUGGCCUGAGGUGAAAGACUGAUCCCAAGAGGGGUCACCCAGCUGCUAUACACUCUUCCUGUGUCCAACCUACCAGUGUGCUACUUACUACCAGUGCUGAUCUCCCACGCGGUUUCUGCCUUCGAGCCAGCAGGCUAUGCGGACUGAACCCCCUGUGACCGUGAGCCUCUCCUUUAAGUUGGUGUCCUGUGUUUUGUCCCAGU